AGACUCUGUGCGGUUAUGUGAAGCGAAGUGGCUAUACCUUGCCCCAGAGUGAAGAAGGAAGGGGGAAAUGUGGAGCCUGAGACAGACACUCACAGAGGCCAGGUGAUGUAAAGAGACAUCCACAUCCUCAUCUGACCAUCUACAAGCUCAGAAGAGAGGUCUGGAACAGCUCCUUCCCUCACAGCCAUCAGAAGGAAUCAACUCUGCCCACAUCCUCAUCUUGGACUUCCCAGUUUCUGAACUUGGAGAAAAUAAAUUUCUGUUAUUUAA